CUGGACCUUGGCCCAACGUGUUAAGAGACCAGAGCGUUAUGAUUGAUAUGGAGCUCUCAAGUGAGGCCACACGGCCAGUCUUGAUUUGUCCCCUGCGUGGCCUUGCGGGAGGGUCCGUCUCUCCGCAAUCCAUCUUACAGAUUUUCUCCCAUUAUUCUGACAAGCAAAGUUACAAGUAUAAAUUGCAGUUUAAAGGGCUUGUUCGUUCAUGUAGAAGAUAUCUUUAAUCCGCAUCUACCCAAAGACUUUAUUGUGGAACAAUCCAUGAAGCUGUGAUAAGGCUGUAGGCAAAAGUUAAAUUAAACAGUAAAUUAUUUUAAUACAAUAGCACAAACAUAAAGUCAUAAAUCUCUUUCCCUCACAUAAAACGGCUUUGGGUUUAUUUUAUAAUAUAGUAUCUUCAGAUAAUCUUAAAUUCACAGCUGGUUUAAUUAGAAAAUUGUUCAUUGAUAAUGUGUGUGGAUAUUUCAAUAAACUGUCUCUGAGGUAUGUUUUCCACUAACCAUUGUGAUAUGCAUUCAGAAAUAAUCAUAGAGCGUAUGCAUGUGUUAAACGUUUUUAGUCAACUGCUAAAGUUUGUUAUAGAUUAUAGUAAUAGAGGCAACAGCAUGCCUGUUGUCAUAGUGAAUAUUAAAGGCUGAUUCGCCACUUUUCACUGAGUGUUUAUGUACAACAAUUAACUUUCACAUGAAUGAUCUUGUAAUAAUUUCUGGCUGUGUAGCGUCAACAACAUGAACAUUUUGAAAUCAAAAUGUAAGACAUUGGUAGCCAGUAAAGAAGUUUUAAUGCUGUAAGUUUAAAAAAAUAAUGAUGAUGCUUUUAAUGUAAUCUUGUAUUGUUUGUCCUAAAUUAACCGUUUGCUUUAUUGUUUUGACAGAUGUUCUGGAGAGAACAUUAAAAAGCUUUUUCGAACCAGCUGUUGAAUGUUUGACGGUUGUCUUUGAGUCCUAAGGAAAAACACCUCUAACGCAAGACAAAGGUUAGACUUCAUCCCCUCCACCUUUUCACAUUUAUUUCUUUUCCGGCUAUUUUAAAGGGCCUCUCUACAUUUGCAAUGGGGGUUUUACUAAAUGAUGCCUAAUAUCCCUAAAACAUAGUUUGUGAAGUCUGAAGUUUUGACCUUAACUGAGACAGGAAGAGACAGGUGCCUGUGGCGUUGUGUGUGGACACACCUAUGUGAACUCUGUUCAGCUGGAAGAAAAGGUCAGUGAAAUGUCAUGGAGUCAUGUUCUUAUGAGCUUGAUCGGACAUGAUAAAAUCAAACCUGCUGUUCGGUUUAUCCCACUGUACUUUCUGACAUCCAUUAUAACCAUACUCAUAGUGUAUCUGGUCCAAUCAAUGUUGGUAUAAAUGUUAAAUGUGAUCGCUGCUUUAUGACAUCUUGUUUUGUUAAAUGGUGUUAAACUAAAACACGAAUUUUACUGUUUUUUGCUGAUCGAUUUAUAUUACACGCACAAAGUUUAAUACUUUAAACUUUGAAUUGUUUUCUUGUUCGAGAAAGGUGGAUUUAUUGACCAUUUUUGAUCUUAAUGUUCAUAGAAUUUGUAUAAAAACAAUGUCAGCACAGUGCAAAUUUCAUUUGGUACUUGGCCAUGCAUACUGAUAUUUUGCACUCUUGUAUGUGCAUUUUUGCCUAUACGUUACCGAUGUGAGCUUUAUGUGAAAACAUUUGUGGCGCUGUCUUUUUUAAGGUUCAAUUUGGAUUUCUCCAAGAAUAAAAACAACAACACACAGGUGUGACAAAUGACAAGUCUAGGCACAACUGACAACUGAUAUUGAGCUGAAUUCUUUAUGCUCAAUAUUUUGCCUUGACCUAGUUGAGGCCCUAAAGCCUCCUUUCCGUGUCCAUUUAAUGAAUUUCCGCACCGGAAAUAGGCCACGGGUGUAAGGGGCAGGGGCUUGGACGUGAGUGUGCGCUCAUCUGGGAGCAUCCCUACCCUUCAAUCUUGCCUCAUUAGUCUAACUUGGCAGUCGCAAAGAUGUUGUGUCACGUCUAUUUUGGGCCCCAAACUCUAAAAUGCCCCUUCAACUUAUCUUUCUGCAUUCUCCAUUACCCCCUCGCCACCCAUGAGAGAAUGUGGAAGGGAUGCGAUUGGCCCCUGCACUAUCGUUGUCAAGGAGACACAUCAGGAGGGAGGAAUCGGACUCCGAUGCGGCUCGCUAACUGUGUCAAGGACGCAACAGCCGAACCCGGGACAGUUCACCUGUGAGAGGCCUGAGACUGGGCACACAUAACUGCUGUUUCCGCCUGCCUCAUUGCCUCAAGAUUCAAUACCUUUCAGCUCUCCCCUCGGAUCAUUCAAGCACACACCUUUUCUUUCAGAUGUACUUUACUGCAGGAAUGUUACAUCAAUGUCGCCACGGCAACGGCUGGCUGAGCAGGAGAGCUGUGAAUUGAACAUAGUGAUGAUAUCAGGCAUCCGCUGUUCCCAGGUCAUGCCACUCACCUGCAUAGCCUGUGGGUGUACCACAAUACAGAAAGGACUGAAAGAAUGAAGGAAGUUCCUCGCUGACAUGCUGAGUUUGUGGAAAAAGGCCUAGUAAGAGCCAGAGUGCUGGGGAGGAAGAUGGGUGACCGAAGGAAGCAAUAAUACAGCAUGUCCUGACUGAAAGGGGAGCAGACCCUCUCGUGCUCUUCUGCUAAUGAGCCACUUCCACUGUCCUUGUGUUCAACAUGAGUCAUGUGACUGUCAGACAUUACAUCUAUUGCACGAUUUUAGCGAUGACGCCUAUAGCGCUCAUGAUGGCUUUUGCCUUAGGAUUUUUUCCUGUAAUAGAAGUAUUUUUGACCAAAGAAUGCUUUGUUGUGCGCUCUGAACCACUUGUUAAGCAAACAUUCUUAUCUUAGAUCUUGAUAAAAAGUCAGGUCCGUCCCCAACUUCCUUCUCCUGACAUCACUGUUUGUGUGGCCAAAUAUCCAGCGAGGUCAUGGAGUGGAAUAUUUGAGCUGGAAUAAAUAUAUAGUAAUAUAUAAACCUGAUCAGCUUUGUAAAUGAAUAACCUGAUUGAAAUACAAACUGUAUGCUUUAUAUACUUUUCUUGUUAUAUAACUAUGUACAAUAUGUCUAAUGGGAUGUUU